UGCAGCAAAUAGUUCUAUUUCUAACUUUUGGCCCGGCCCUCCACAAUAUUUUCUGCUUCUCAUUUGGCCCCCCUGGGAAAAUAAUUGCCCGCCCCUGAUUUA